AAGCCAGGAGGUUACCCUUACAGGAGCCAGCCGCCGAAGGUGGGACAGAUAAUUGGGGUGAAGUCGUAACAAGGUAGCCGUAUCGGAAGGUGCGGCUGGAUCACCUCCUUUCUAAGGAA
rnacentral:rRNA from 1 species